rnacentral:rRNA from 1 species
CGACUCUCGGCAAUGGAUAUCUCGGCUCACGCAUCGAUGAAGAGCGCAGCGAAAUGCGAUACGUGGUGCGAAUUGCAGAAUCCCGUGAACCAUCGAGUCUUUGAACGCAAGUUGCGCCCGAGGCCAACCGGCCAAGGGCACGUCUUCCUGGGCGUCAAGCGUUA